GACGAACGCUGGCGGCGUGCUUAACACAUGCAAGUCGAACGGUGAAGCGCCUUCCUUUUUGGUGGGUGUGGAUGAGUGGCGAACGGGUGAGUAACACGUGAGUAACCUGCCCCCUUCUUCUGGAUAACCGCAUGAAAGUGUGGCUAAUACGGGAUAUUCUGGGUCUGUCGCAUGAUGGGUCUGGGAAAGAUAUUGUUUCGGUGGGGGAUGGGCUCGCGGCCUAUCAGCUUGUUGGUGGGGUGAUGGCCUACCAAGGCGGUGACGGGUAGCCGGCCUGAGAGGGUGGACGGUCACACUGGGACGGAGACACGGCCCAGACUCCUACGGGAGGCAGCAGUGGGGAAUAUUGCACAAUGGGCGGAAGCCUGAUGCAGCGACGCCGCGUGAGGGAUGGAGGCCUUCGGGUUGUGAACCUCUUUCGCCAGUGAAGCAGGCCUGCCUCGUUUGUGGGUGGGUUGACGGUAGCUGGAUAAGAAGCGCCGGCUAACUACGUG
rnacentral:rRNA from 1 species